rnacentral:rRNA from 1 species
UCGAGGAUCUUCGGCAAUGGGCGCAAGCCUGACCGAGCGACGCCGCGUGUGCGAUGAAGGCCUUCGGGUUGUAAAGCACUGUCGAGGGGGAGGAAGCCGCAAGGUUGACCUAUCCCUGGAGGAAGCACGGGCUAAGUUCGUGCCAGCAGCCGCGGUAAGACGAACCGUGCGAACGUUGUUCGGAUUCACUGGGCUUAAAGGGCGCGUAGGCGGGUUACCAAGUCAGGGGUGAAAUCUUUCGGCUUAACCGGAAAAUAGCCUUGGAUACUGGCAGUCUGGAGGGAGGUAGGGGCAUGUGGAACUUCCGGUGGAGCGGUGAAAUGCGUAGAUAUCGGAAGGAACGCCGGUGGCGAAAGCGACGUGCUGGACCUCUUCUGACGCUGAGGCGCGAAAGCCAGGGGAGCAAACGGGAUUAGAUACCCCCGUAGUCC